rnacentral:lncRNA from 1 species
AACAAUCACUUCGCUGGGACGCUGGAAGCAAGGGUGGAGAGUUCGAUUCCUGGAGUUAACACUGGGUGCUAAAAUGGAGGGGAAGCCAUUUGGUUGAACAAACGCCCAGCGAGGAGAGCUCUCUUUGCGGAAGGAGUCCAAAUGAGUUGUGGGAACCUGGGAGCCAACAAGGGCACAUCCUGCGAUUUACCUCCCUGAGCUGCUGAGGGGCCGGAG